rnacentral:lncRNA from 1 species
AUCUUAUUGGAAGUGGAAGCAAGCAGCAGGAGAUUGGGAUGGGUUCUUCUUCUGAUCAAGGUCGUGGUGGUGGUGGUGAAGGGGGUGAAAACCUUUACCUCAAAUCUUCUGACGAUGGGAACUAGCUAUCUAGAUCCAAUUUGGUUUAGUUAAUUAUUAAAUUACCACUAUCAUGCAUUUUAGCUUUAAGUAAUGAUCAGUUAGUUAGUUAGCUAGGAGAACUAGUCAAUCAAAAUGAAUUAGCUAGCUAGGUGAAAAACCUGUGCUACUGCUUUAGUUGGUAAUCUUUCUUGUGCUUAAUAAUAGCAAACUUUUAAUUAAUGCUUUCACGUUUCUGUAGUACUAGUAACUCUUGCAAUGAAUUUGUGGUUUCUUUCUUUGCUACCUUCUAAUGUUUUUUUUUUUUUACUAAUCUACCCUAACAACUAUCCUUCCGAGACUCUUUUUCCUAACACAGUCACAAAGACAUUAGAGAAACAAACCUGUGCAUUCAUGUUGCCACCAUCCACGUAUACUUGGCCUAAUUAAACACUUCUUCCAACCUUGAUUUUCUUCAGGAAUCUUAUUGGAAGUGGAAGCAAGCAGCAGGAGAUUGGGAUGGGUUCUUCUUCUGAUCAAGGUCGUGGUGGUGGUGGUGAAGGGGGUGAAAACCUUUACCUCAAAUCUUCUGACGAUGGGAACUAGCUAUCUAGAUCCAAUUUGGUUUAGUUAAUUAUUAAAUUACCACUAUCAUGCAUUUUAGCUUUAAGUAAUGAUCAG